rnacentral:lncRNA from 1 species
CCUCCAUUAAUGACAAAGGUUCAUUUUACGAAAACUCUUAAACAUUAACUUAAAUUAAAACCCAAAACAUUUAAGACCUGCAUAGCAUUCAUAGGAAUAAUGCCCAUACUUGUGACAAUUGUAGUAAUUGUAAUUUUAUGUUGUUCUUGUCCUGCAGGGAAGUGCUCCUAUAAUCAAUAUAAUUAGGCUAAAAAGCACUUUUGGCCCCUGAUGUUUUAAGUUUGUGCAAAUUCUGCCCCUACUCUAUUUUUGUCGAUGUUUCUACCCCUCAUGUUUUCAAACAGUGCACCGUCUACCCCCCGUCAGUCGGACGUUAAAAAACUAACGGAAUAAGCUGAUUUGGCUUUUUUAAAAUAUUUUUUUGACCUGCCACGUGGAAAUUACAAGUGAAAUUGGAAAAAGGGGGCGUGGGAGAUUCAAACUCAAGACCUGUNNNNNNNNNNNNNNNNNNNNNNNNNNNNNNNNNNNNNNNNNNNNNNNNNNNNNNNNNNNNNNNNNNNNNNNNNNNNNNNNNNNNNNNNNNNNNNNNNNNNNNNNNUCACCUUCAAAUCCUCUCUUUCACCCCCCCAAUCCACUCAGAAACCUCUCCUGAGAAAGCCUGACUGACGGAAGGGGUAGACGAUGCACUGUUUGAAAACAUGAGGGGUAUAAACGUCGACAAAAAUAAAGUAGGGGCAGAAUUUGCACAAACUUGAAACAUCAGGGGCCAAAUAUGCUUUUUAGCCAUAUAAUUAAUAAGAGGUGAAUCAUCAUGAGUAUCAGCACUGUCCCUAUCAUAUGACCAUCAUCCUCACUUUCGAGUGGCAUAGUGAGGGUGUGACGCUCGCUCUCAUCAUCCCCAUCAUCCCCAUCAUCCUUCCAAUUACAAACUUGUAAGGAAAAUAGAAAUUGGCAAAAGUAAUUCAAGCUGUAACAAUUAAAAUCACCUGAUAUUCAUAUUCAGGUCUCUUCCUCUUCCUGUUUAUGCCAGACUUCCUAUAUUUAAUAAAUGCUGCUGCUGCUUUCAGAGGACUCAUUGGGAAGAUUUGUGACAAGGUAGGAAAACUUAUUUGUCCACAUAUCAUUUAACUCUGGAUAAUUAUAUGCCUUCCCAAGACCCUCAUAUAAAUACCAAUUAAUAUCUUUGUAUUUGUUAGGCUGAACAACUUUCAUCUUUGGAAUAGCAAAAACAUUGACAACCUCCAAACCCAGUUGUUUAAAGCAUAUGUCGGGACGAUUCAAACUAACAGUUUGGUAGCAAAUGAUAGGCACCAUGGCAUACUUCACACGCAACUGAUUCACAUCAUCCUGAGGAAGCGCCGGCCUCUCAUAUGGAUUCCAAGUAACCUUGCAAACAUAAAAAUUGACUAUGUUAGAUAAUAUGGAACAAAUAAUGAUAAUAAGGUUAAUAAAAAUUAAAAUGAAACUUACAUCCUCCUCCUUCAUCCGGAAAAAAUAAUUUAAUGUAAUAUUCCACUCUUUUUUGUGUGUUUGGUUUUUAAGUAUGUGUACACCACAUCUAUCCAGGUAAAAUACAAGGGUUAUAUAGGUGGUAAAACAAAUGUGUUCCUUAUGAAGGGGAACCACUCUAAUGCAAAUACCAAUAAGAAAGAAAUAAAGUACAAGAGUUAUUAAAUAAUAUAACUCAUAUAAAUUGAAAUGACAAUCUAAAAAUCUAAAAAAAACUUACUAUCAAGCCACAUGUGAAACAACAAAUACUUUUUUUGCCAUUGCCCAAAACAUUUUUUAUGUGUGCAAGAACAGCUGCUCCCCAAGCAUAUUUAUUAAUUUUUUGUAAAUCUAAGAGCUCCAAAAAGUCUGGCAUAAUAGUCCCUUUCCGAUUGGGAAGAAGUGUUGUUCCUAACAGGUACAUAAUGAAAGCCUUUGCAUGGGCCUCCACAGAAUCAGAAGCAUCACUGGGCAAUUCCUUAAAGUAUAAAGGCAAUUUAUUUACACUGAUUUCACCCUUGCAUGUACCUUUUCUGAGCAAAUCUCUUGCUUGAUAAUCCUUCAAAUUUAAAUGCUUCAUGACUAAGUCCACAGCCUCAUAAGUAAUAUAUACAGACACCUGCCACAAUCAUAUCAAUAUCAAAUUGUAUUAAUUUCUUCAGGCUCAUAUUCAUAUAAUAAAAAAUUGCAAAAUGCAAAAAAAAUCUGAGAUAGUAGCUCACCUGGAUCCCAUCUAUGGGAAGUCCAGUGAUGAAGUAGAUAUCUUUCUAAUCUCAUAUCUAAAAUAAAAUCCCUAACCUCUUUUCCAAGUCGAAAGCAACAUUUUUCCUUAUCAUAAACCUCCAAGAGGGCUUCUAGGGGACCCAAUGGUAAAUGGAAGUUACCUUUGGAAAAGCACUCUUUAACCUUAAGAAACUGAGAAAAACAGGUCAUUUCAAUUUUUUUGGCCACUCUCUCAUGCAUAGACCAUUCACACAGUUUAUUCAUGUGCAUAUCGGAAGAUUUACCCAUAACUAGCUCUCUCAUUAAACAACAAACCUGUCAAAUACAAAACAAUCAAAAUCUCAAUAAAAAUACACAUUAUUAAAAGUUGCAAUCAGAAUUUUGCAAUGAGACAAGAAGGCUUGUGUUGCUUAAAAUAAUGUAGCAAUUUAAUCCUCACAUCUAUUAAAAGUUCCUAAUUACUUCCCCCAACAUUCCAAACCCUAACAACUAAGAAGGCAAUGGAGAUGUCUCCAGAAUUGCUUUGGAAGCACUGGAAGCAAGAUAUGCUGAACAAAAUGCCUCUAGAUGUAGAAAUGAUGGAUGCUCUCCCGUUUUGGAGGUUUGUUGCAAUACAAUCCCCCGCUCUUAUUUAUAAGACCCCAUAUUGCCUGGUUUUAUGUUGUUAUUGUGAUUGUCUUUUAGGGUACUCGAUUUUCUAAGAGCAUCUUGUAUGAAUAUGCUGCUAUGAGGAAGAAAGGAAUGCCUACUUACGAGACUAGUAGGCUAGAAGGGUUGCUUCCUCUUUAUAUAUCUUUGCAAGCUGCAGAACCACAAUAGGCUUUUCCAAAGGAUUAGAACUAAGGUAGUCCAAUACAAUCUGGACAUACUCUCCAAAAAAAUGAAUAUAUCAAAACCAUUUUAAUCUUUCAAAUGUAUAUAUGAAUUCAUAAAAUACAAAGAUACCUACUCGUGAUAUGGAUGUUGUAGAAAUCAUGGGAAAGUCAACAUGUUAACAUCACUGUUUGCAAGAUCACUUCGAGGAUUAUUGUUGGUUGUUGUUCAAGCAACAUGCAAUUGGAGUUUACAAUGAAGAGCGUGCAAAUCUUGUAGCUAUCGGCAAGGAGAUCGCAAAUGAAUGUAGGGGAUUACCUCUUGCAUCACAAGCAUUAGGAGCUCUCUUGCACUUGAAGAGCGAGGAAUAUGAAUGGGUUGAAUUUCAGAAAAGCGCGUUUUGGAAUUUACCUGAUGAAAGAUGUAUUCUAGCCGCCUUAAGGUUGAGCUACUUUCAUGUAACUCCAAUCUUGAGACAAUAUUUUGCGUUUUGUGUCAUGUUCCCCAAAGAUACAAAAAUCAAGAAGGACGAUCUGGUUCAUCUUAGGAUGGUCAAUGUGCUUAUCUCAUCUAAGAAAAACAAGGAGGUAAAAGAUGUCAGUAAUUCAAUUUGGAAUGAAUGGUAUCGAAAAUCAUUCUUAAGAAUAUUGCUACGAUUUUGGAGGAAAUAUUUCUUUCAAGAAGCACGACCAUGUCCGUGAUCUGGCCGAAUUUGUCAUGGGGAAAGAAUGUAUUACUUUGAACAAUACAAACAUGACAAGUUUGUUGGAAAACACACACCAUAUUCUUUACGGUGGCCAAGGAGAGGUAUCUUUAAACCAGGGAACUUUCAAGAAAGUUGAAUCCUUGCGAAUAUUAAAUAACUUUGAACCUUGCUUUAUGGAAGAAUGUGUUACUUUGGACAGUACAAACAUGACAAAUUUGCAGGCAAACACACAGCAUAUUCUUUACUGUGGCUAGGGAGAGUUAUCUUUCAACCAAGUAACUUUUAAGAAAGUUGAAUCCUUGCGAACAUUGUGUAACUUCGAUCCUUGCUUUAUAGAAAAAUAUGCUUGCCUACCAAAACACUGCUCUCUUCGAGUAUUACAAACAUGUUCUUUCAAUUUAUCAUCCCUUAGAAGAUUAAUUCAUUUGAGGUAUUUGAAGCUUAAUGUGAUUGACAUAAAAAUCUUGCCCAACCCAAUUUAUAGCUUGCACAAAUUGGAAAUCUUGAAACUGAAAUGUUUGCGCAAACUUAUUUGUUUACCCCAAACACUUGACUCGGUUACAGAAUAAGGCAUAUAUACAUAAAUUAUAGACAAGACUCAUCACCGAUUUUGACACGAUAUUGACACUCUGACACAGCUAGUUUUUAAAAAGUAGGACACUAUGAUAUUGCUUAUAUACAUAAAUGUGCAUGUUGCGUGUUUAUAGAUAGAUAGAUAGAUAUAAUGAAAUUCACAAAGUCAAUAGAAAUUAAUCUCUUUAUAAACAGGGGCGGAGACAGGGGGUGGCAUACAGAUGCCAUGGCUAACUCUCUUAAAAAAAAAUUAACAAUAAUGAACAAUUUAUUACAUACUCUAAAUUAAGUGAUGAUACCAUAUUUUCUUUGCGCCCAUUUUCUCAAGAUAUAAAUUUCUUUACUUUAAUCUCAAUAUAUAAACAAUAAAAACUUGUGUAUGCUCGAUGAUGGUACACUACUAAAGCGGGGUAAGAAGAGAAAAUAGAUAAAUACUUUAGAUGACAAUUAAUAGUUUGUCAAUUUUUAAAGAUAAAGUGUAUACGUGACUUUAGAAAUCUGUAUGUUUUUUAAUAUUUAAUUUUGGCCCCUGUCAACUUAAAAGUCUGCCUCCGCCACUGUUUAUAAAAAAACAUGAAACCAAUUUCCUAAACUCUAUGUGAACUUCAUAAAAAUACUAUAAGAUACCAUUUUACAAAGUAACCUCUUUGUCUAAAAAAAGUUAAUCUAGCUAAUAGUUUUCACCUCCUUCUUGAUCAUCACCGGUGAAAAGUAUAACCUUUAGUUUCAUUCAUCAAGUGAAAAAUGUAACUUCUUUCAUGGUUUGACUUAUAAAAUUAUUUUUUGAAAACUAUAAGUGUCCUAGAGGUGUGCGAGCUAAGAAGAUGUAUCAGCUCAAGUGUCUAAGCCAAGAAGAUGUGUCGGCUCAAGUGUUCGAACCACAAAAAAUAUUUUCUUAUUCAAACACUGCGAAGAAGCGUCAAAUUUUAUUAUGUAUGUAUUUGGGUUAAUGGUAAGGGAGUUUGAUUUAAGUUCCUCUGAGGACUAUAUUACUAAACCAUGAGAGAAAAAAGUCCACACCUUACCUGAUCCAAGUCCUAGAUUGCUCUUUGGAUCUAUUUGUUUGUGCAGGAAAAACAAGGCUCAUAAUUUCCCGCGUCAACUACACAUUAUGCAAAUGAACGAUAUCUUAGUAUAUAAACAAAUGAACGUAACAUAUUUAUUGGCUCGGUGUCAUUGGCGGUUGUGUCUGUAAGAGUGUGGGAAGUCCCCUAAGUGAGACCUCUGAUCAUGUGGGUAGCCUUUUUGGCUAUCCCAUAUCUUAGUAUAUAUACGCAUUGUCUUGGCCUUCUUGUGGUCGGUCAGUCGUGAGCCGGGACGGGAUGCAUGUCUCUUUCAUGGUUAUUCAGUAUGUCCUUCAGACAAGUUCCUGGGUGCACACCUUUAGCUUAGCGAGUUGCUUUCGGAUCCGACGGCUUUGUAUUUGGCCGAAACAAUUUUAUAAUAGAAGAUAAUAUGAUACAUCAAGGUAAAAAGUUAACGAGCUCCACCAUUUUUGUUGGCUAGGACUCAAAUCACCUAAAUCGUUUUUCUGAUCAUACUAUCUUUAUUCCUUAUUAACUGUUUCGAAAGAGAAAAAACAUACAUAUUAAGAAAUACAAUUAAUGUAGUUAACUUUCAAAAAAUAUUAUUUAUUAUUUUAUUUUACCAUUUAAAAUAUAUUUUAUCUCAUCUUAUUUAUUAUCAAGUAAAUCAUCAAUUAAUACCCUAUUAAAAUUCUAAACAAGUUUGUUUAUGGAAAUGAGCAAAGUAAAAUUCCCUUUUAUACCAUGUAUAUAGGUGAUUCACCUUACAAUAGUUAGACAGGUUAUCAACUAAAUUAGAGUAAGCACUUUCUUCUUCUUCUUCCAUGAGGAACAUAAACCAAUAUCUUCUAUUCAUCGUGAUCACUACACUGGUGGCCCUAUCAUCAGUGUUAGGUGCUGCUCUCAAACGCUGUCCAGAUUGUGGUAAAACUCAGGUCCCAUACCCGCUGAGCACCGCACCAAACUGCGGCGACCCAUCCUACAAGAUUCGCUGCACCGGAGGCAUGCUCUUCUUGGACUCCAUCAGCGGUUCCGCUUACGCGAUUACCGCCAUCAACCCUUCGUCACAACGACUGAUCAUUCUCCCACCGGGCCUCGCCAGCAGCAGCAUGUGCGUGUCCACCGAUUUCCAAAACGGAGGGAUGUGGAUUGACAGCAACUCACCCUUCAACAUCACCUCAAGCAACACGGAAAUUCGCCUCAACUGUUCCAAGGAAGUCUUCACCGAAACUGCGUGGAACUGCUCCUCGUCGAGCAUUUGCCACAAGUACCUUAAGGAAAAUGCCGCGGCGGCGAAGGCGUGUGGGGGCUUGAUAUGUUGCGAUCUGAAGACUGGUGGGUCUUCCACUGCUUAUAGGUUGAGGGUCAGUGGAGAUUGAGUGGCAGUUGCCGGAGGAGCCGCCAUGCAGAGUAGUUGGGGACUGCUUGGGUUUGGCAAACUCCGAUUGUUUGCCGGCUGCCGGAGGAGGAAGGAAGUGCUUGUGCAAGUAUGGCUUCUUGUGGGAUCCUGUAAAUGUAAUAUGUCAAAGUAAGAAAGGUAAGACACUUCAAUUCUUUUUAAUGGAUUUCUGAAGUUAAUUACGUUUUUAGUCACUGAUGUUAUGAUACUCUACUUUUUGUUCUUGAAUCUAGUCACCUACAUUUUAGUCACUUUAGCCUUAAUUUUUAAUAAUUAUGAAAAGUAGUAUUUAUUAGUAAUAAAUCUGUAAAAUGUUUUAUUAACUUCAAUUUUCUAAAUUACUCGUGAAUUUUUUGUUAAAUUAAUAUUUUUCAAAAUUAUAAUAACUCUUUCAUAUUAAAUAUUAAAGUAGGUUUGAAAAAAAUAUUGAAUAUUUCAUUUAUUCUUUGGUAUUAUAAAGUGAUUUAUAAUUUAAUUAGGACAAAAGGAACUCUCAAAAAUGAGAAAUAGGCAUGAAAUGAGUAAUGCAUAGCAGAAAGAAAGAUUUGUACUAAUAAACAAAGCAUUAGAACAAUUGCACAUCCAUUUGCUUUGCAUGUAAAUACUAAAAUAAAGAAUUGAAAGUACUUUAAGAUGCAUGUUACUUAGAAAUAGCGCUUCAAGCUUUUUUCUAGGGGGAACGGGUUUUGGAGUUGGGGGUGUGGGAUGCAAUUUGUAACUCUAAUCAUUUUCAUAUAUGCCAUGUAAUUCUUACAUUGAGAAAUUUAUUUAGUGAUCAUAUAAAAUAUAUUUUUUUUGGUUGCAAGAGGAAAUUUAAUAGAAGACCAAAACUAACUAAUAGUAGCAUCUAGAUACAUAGAUGCAUAAACAAAGGAGGGAGGUGUAGCCCAAACUUGAACCGGAGCCCCUGUUCGCGCCGCUUCCCACCUUUAUAAUCAGCUGUCUUUUUUUAUAUAAAAAAAGAUAAUAUAUUACUAGAAAAUCUUCACAACAAACGCCCCGGCCUUCCAUGUAAGAGAAUGAAAACCUCCCAAAUUCAAACAACAACCAACCCAAACAAAUUAAUCCAAGGUUUUUAGUUUUUCUAUAUUAUCAGUUGUCUUUCUCUAUUAAUUGGUUUUAUUUUAUUUUUAUUGUUUUAGUUUUAGAAAAUCGAUUCCGAUGUAAAAAAAAAAAAAGUUUUAGAAAAUCGAAAAUUGUCCAUUUCUUAAUGUAAGAUGUUGGUGAUCACUACAACUGGAAUGCUAUUUUUUUUAGAUGCCAAUUCCUGUCAGCAUGGAAGAUGCCAGCACCGUAGGAAGAAAACUCCCCUCAUUGGAGGUAACUUCUUCGGAUCCAUACAAAUUAUUCAGAUUUAUAGUAUAUAGUUAUUUCUUCAAGAAUAGAUUUUCUACGACUAUUGAUGUUUUGAGCCAGGUGUCGGGGACAAAUACACUGAAAUUUAUCGAGUUUUGAGCAUGCAUGUGCUUGGAAGUGAACACAUCGUACUUGUCUUUGAAAACGCAAAGACAUUGAACACAUCGUACUUGUCUUACUUUAGGAAUACUCCCUCCAUUCUCUAUAUUAACGAAUACUACAGCAAUCUAAAAGGAUUGUUAUUUAAGAUUUUAGUAAAAAAGAGUAAAAUGAUAAUUAUUGAUAGUAUAAUGUUAGUAAGUCAUAAUUAAUGUUUUUUCAAAAUUGUAAAAGUGACAAAUAAAUAGAAAUAUAAAGAGAAUCAAAAUAAUGACAACUAUAUAGAAAUAAAGGGAGUAUAUAUAACCCCUAUAUAAUGUGGUUGUCUAAAUGAUCCAAGAAAAGUUUGAGUUAAAUAACUCAUCAUUCAAUCACAUUGGAGAUAAGUGAGUUGAAAUUUCUAUAUUUUAUUUAUUAAUUUAUUUCCAACUCAAUCUCCAAUAUGAUUGCAUGAUGAACUAUUUAACCCAAACUUUCACAUGGGUCAUUUAGACAACCUCAUAUAUAAUUGGAAUAUAUAAGGCUUAAGAAUUUAAGAAAAUAUUCUGUAAACACAUGCAUAGAACAUGCAUGGCCAACAAAUAUUUAAAUGGGAAAUAAAAUGAAGAGAGAAGUCAUGGAUGUGAAAGAUUAUAUAAGGGAGAUAGAGAGGGAAAAAAAGAGAUUGUAUGUUACAUAUAUGCACUGUUUGUAUAUAUGAGUAUCAUUACUUCAGAUUUAAUGAUAUAUAUAACCACUCAAAUCUCCCCACAAAUACAUGUGUAUCACUUGUUCUUCUAGAGAAAUGAGAUAAAUUACCUAAAUCUUUUUGUCUCAAGUGGUGGUGCAAGUCCGGAUAUAACUUUUCUAUCUCAAAAAGUUUUACGUUGACAUGGCAUGGAUUUACCGAUAGAAGACUCAAUGAGAGUGAGAGAGAGGGAAAAAAGAGCAUCUCCGGGACUAAGAAAAACUUAAGUUUGAAUAAUCAGUAAUAAGUACAUAAACGAAUUGAACGACUACACCUAAAUUGAUAGGCUUGAUGUCCAUCAUAACAGUCUCACAAAGCCUUUAGGAAGUCUUUUGGGAGAUCUUCCAAGAUCUUGGUUGUCCCUAGACAACCUCGGAUUUACUUUUUGGUAAGACAAAUGGAUUAAUAAGAAGUAUAAGGGGUGUAUCAACCCAUUAAAAAAAGUCCAAUUAAAUGAUAAGCAUAUAGUUAUAAUACAUAACACAUUUUCCAGGCAUCAAACACGUUACAAUUAAGCUUUAAAUAGUCGUUAAUGAGUAAGUCAAAGUCUCGUCACUCAGCCAUAGCUGUGACGAGAUGUUUCUUACCUAAGUCGCCUCAUCGGAAACUAUGGUGCUCACUUGAUUGUGAGACCUUUCGGCCAGCGGAGAUGCUAUUAUUGGGGCCUUUUGCCCUUUUGGAAUACCACUGAUUUUUUUUUCUCAUAGCUUGGAACUGUUUUAUGUCUUUUUAUUCUCAUUUCACAUGUUUCACUUAAUCAUAUAAAAUGUACAUAAAAAAAUUGAUGCAUGAUCCGGUUAACUACUUAGUAAAGUUUUUUACAUAUUUAUCUUCUCCUUUUUCAUCACAACAAUGUGAAACAAAAUAUUACGUUUCUAGAGACCCACAUAUUUAAUAGUCAUAAGAAGAAAUAGAUACAAUAAUUUUAACUUGGUAUUAAGGUUUCACAUGAAAGCAUACCAACCAGAAGUUUCAAAAGGUUAUGCACUGCUUCAUUGUAUCAGAGAGAAAAGUUCAUAGAAUAUAUUUUGAUGAAUUUGAAAUCUCAGGUUUAGCAUUGGCUGGGGCCACCAUGCUAAUAGGCUCUUUGAUUAUGGCAUUGGUCUUUUACCUUAAGAGGCGAAGGAUGAAAAGAGAAACCCAAGAAAGCAUAAACAAGGCCCGCAACAUAUUGAAUACAGACAACUCUAGUGGCAAAUCCGCAAAAAUCUUCACCAUGAAAGAGAUCAUAAAGGCGACCAACAACUUCUCCGAUGAUAACCUCCUAGGUGCUGGUGGCUUCGGCGAGGUCUUCAAAGCAACGCUUGAUGAUGGAACCAUUACCGCCAUCAAGAGACCCAAGCUUGGCAAUACCAGAGGCAACGAUCAAAUACUCAACGAGGUCAGAAUACUCUGCCAGGUGUGUUAUUUUUAUAUUUUGUUGAAUAAAAAUUAGAAAAACAAGACGAACAAUACAAAAAAUGAGAAAAAUAUUCUAUUAUUUUUUCAUCAGUUGCUCCUCCAUUUAUAUAUAAUAGAGUAGGAGUAACACAUAAUCCAUUACAUAGCUGCUACGUACUAGCUAAAAUAAUAAAUAGACCUAUUAAUGAUAAUGUGAAAUUUCCAGUAAUUGUAUGAGGGAAUAAUAGCCCUUCAACAAAAAAAUAAAGAUUUUUAGCCCAUUAAUAGUAACCCACACCCACAAGCAUGCGUGUGCCAAUUUUUUAUUUUAAAAAAGAGGCAGAAACAAACAACGGGAUAUAGCCCAAUUUUUUCAUUCUGGGCUAGGCCCUCUAUGAAUGAAACAUCUCUCCUCUUUGACAAAAAAAAAAAAAGAGGAAGAAUAAAAUUAUAAAAGAUUAAUGGUCAAAUUUGUCUCUGGUUUUGUAAUUUUGUAAGCGAGUUUGAUUUUAGUCUUUCGGUGGUAAAAUAACGUUUAGUGACCGUUAUUUUUAUAAUUAUUGUAUGUUUAUUACCACAAUUAAAUGUCAUUUUUCUUCGAAGGACUAAAAUCAAAUAUGUUUACAAAAUUAAGAACUAAUUUAACCAUUUAUCAAAAUAUAAAAUAUCUAUAAAAAUUAUUGGGCGGGAAAAGACUUCAAUUUUUUUUAUGUAAAAGUACAUACAUAUAAUUAAUAAAGAAAUUAAAUUCGGGAGUUGCGGCUUCUAUCAACCUUUUUAUAUACGUUCCUGGUACAUUUUAGCGUGGAUUAAAUCACUUUCUUUUUUCUAAUCACUUUUAAUGAUAUACGUAUCGCAACGGUAAUCAAAAAUAAUGUUAGUUAAUUUUUUUUUUUGAUAAUCCGUGAAUUAUAUAUUGAAAUGAAGUACAAGGGUUACUUCAACCCAAUAAAAAAAAUAAAAAAAUAAAGUAAGAGAUCAAAUUAAAAUUACAACAACUUAAAACCCAACCAACAACCAACUAGAGCAUGAGCACACCCAUCUAAUUAAACCCCUUGCUCUUGAAGGUUAGACCUUACAAAAAGUGUCUCAUAAAAAUCUUCCAAGGAAAAACUCAAUUGAAAUAAAAAUUUAUGAAUGAAAAAGAGUACACCAAAUGUAAAGCUUUAAGUCAACCUCCUAGAAGAUCCAAACAGAAUGAGAAAUCCGAAUGCCCAAAGUCCCUGAGAAAGUCCACGUUUGCCGAGUUGGAGCAAAACCAAUUUCCCAAAAUGCAUGAAUGAAUGGUACCAGCUUCUUCCUAGCAUCACGUUCACCCCUCAAAAGCCAGAAACAUAGUAUACCUGCCACAAGCACACCAACCCCUAUCAAUGAAUUGAUUUUAAGCACAAAACUGGAUUGGAACACCACUCAGAAAAUGAUUGUUGGAAUCCCCGCGCUCUUGUGGAUAGCCACUUCCAAGACCUCACUUGAAUUAGUUCAAAGACCUUCCCUGCAACAAAUUGCUCCUCCCUAAAUAUCAGAUUAUUCCUUGCAACACCUGACCAUAGCCUUCUACUAAUGUUAGUUAAUGAAUAACUAGUACAAUUUUUCAUAUUUGCGAACCUGCAUUAUAUUCUUUUAUUCUCUAAUUAUUACUAAUUAUUAGAGACUUGAUUUUUAACAAGGUUAACCACCGGAGCCUCGUGAGACUCUUGGGCUGUUCCGUGGAGCUUUCAGUGCCACUUCUGAUCUACGAGUAUGUCUCCAAUGGAACCCUUUUUGAGCACCUUCACUGCACCACUUCAGAAAAAUGGAUUCGUCUUGGAUGGCACGUUAGGCUGAGAAUCGCGCACCAAACCGCUGAAGGGCUUGCCUAUCUCCACAAUGCAGCCAUACCAACAAUCUACCACAGGGAUAUCAAGUCCAGCAACAUUCUCUUGGAUGAAAAUCUUGAUGCUAAAGUUGCUGACUUUGGCCUUUCAAGGCUAGCUGUAAGUGAAGCUACUCACAUCACAACGUGUGCUCAAGGAACCUUGGGUUAUCUCGACCCUGAAUACUAUGUCAACUUUCAGCUCACAGAUAAGAGUGAUGUGUACAGUUUUGGGGUGGUUUUGUUGGAGCUGCUGACUUCUAAAAAGGCGAUUGAUUUUAACAGAGAAGAGGAGGAUGUGAACUUGGUGGUUCUGAUCAAGAGGGUUUUGAAGGAAGAGAGGUUGAUGGAAGUAGUUGAUCCGAUGCUGAAAACUGGUGCUAAUAGACUUGAGUUGGAGAGUAUGAAGGCGUUUGGGUUUCUCGCUGCUGCGUGUUUAGAUGAACGAAGGCAAAAUAGGCCCUCAAUGAAAGAUGUUGCUGAUGAGAUUGAGUACAUUAUUAGCCUUGUUGCUGAUCUUAAGGCUAAGGUCUAAUACUCUAAUUAGUUCUGGGAGGUGAUCCAUCUAUAUAUUCCUAAUUUGAAUAUAUAUUCCUGUUAGCUAGUGUGCAUGUUCAAGACAUGAGGAAGAUGAAUCUACGUUAGCGUGGGAGAUGAUGACAAAGAAAAUUAAAAAGCGAGGAGGAAAAAAUUGAGAUGGGGAAAUAUGAGUUUUACUACACCAGUAUUUAUCUUUUUUUCCAACACAAGUAUCCUGCAUAGGAGGUCAUGGGUGAGACUUUAAUUUAUUUAAAGAAAAUCAAGCAUGUGCAACUUGAAUUAACCACUUUAUGUUUACAUGCGCAGUUUUAUUACAGGUUUAAUCAAUGUUAAUGCUGGUACUCUUAUUCAAAAAAAAUCUUGGUACCCUUAUUUUAAGGAUUUCGUGAUCACGGGUUUUCUUACUUUAUAAUUCUCAAAUUUAGUCCCUAGUUUGGUAAUUUUGCAAUUUUAGAACUCUAAUUUUCUUUAGGAAUUGUUAUUGUCAUGAGUCAUCACCCCACAACUAUUCAUGUCAUCCUUAAAUUUGUAAAAUCCGAAAAAAAAAUCCUUAAUAUUUUUUCGCUCGUACUUUUAAAGUGUGUCACAUUCGUACUCUCAAAGUGCGUUAGAUUCACACUUUAAAAGUGCAACUGUUACGCACGGUAAGAGUAUAAAAAAAAACAAUAUCAAGGAUUUUUGCAAGAUUUUCAUUCUGUCUUUCGUUAAACAGAUUUCCAGUCCAACGUUAUGGAAAUGUAACGCUCCCUACCACCGUAUAACGAAUAAAAAUCAUGUGCUUUGUAAAAUGUGACUUCUUGAGUAUUAUGAUGCCUGAAAUUUUUUUUCUUGACGUUGAUGUCAGUAUACCAUGUAUGAAUAUAUUAUUUUCGAAUUCAUAAUUUUAGAUCUUUUUUGAAGGUAACUUUUGAGACCUUGAGAUAGCAAAGCCUAUGGAUAACACAAACUUUAGAUAAGAAUACGCAAAGGAAGGAAGCAUAAGCCCAAUUUUAAAAAACAGAGAAUAGUACAGAGAUAUCAAAUAUAGCAACUUCCAUUUACAGCAUACCUUGUCAUCGAUGAAUCAAAAGGAUUCAUGAUUUAAAUUUUUUGAUAAGCUACAAGAUAUUCACUCUAAUACACAUUCUGACUGCACUAAAAAGUUUUGAUACAACAGGUAAAAACGAGUAGAAUCAUACACGUCACACCAUUGGCUCCAUAACACCAUGUUUAACAGAAGUAACAAGUGCAUGUAUAUUUUGGCGUACUCAUUUCUUCGUGACUCACACCGCACCAGGGGAAAAGACCCUAUCUAACAAAGAACCAAAUAAUCAUCACAAAGAAGCCAAGUCCAGAAUGUAGGAUGAUAUUACACUAUUUGGAGGGACAGAUCAAAUAUAGGCAAACACUUAAUUAACAACUAUUCAUUUCCUAAGUUUAAAGAACCAUCUUUCAUCAACUUCAAGCUCAAGCUAUUGAAUCUUCCACGAGAGUAAUGCCUAGAUGCUUUUCUCCAAUCCGUUCC